rnacentral:sRNA from 1 species
ACUCUCUCUCGUACGGGAAGGAUGAGAAGCUUCGACUAAGGUUCGAUUCGAGCGAAAGCGAGAAAGCGUUGCCAACGGCAACGACCCGAAGGGCGAAGCGCGCAGCGCUGAGUCAUCCUUCCCCCACCACCA